UAUGUCUGUUCUUUAUGUAGCUUAGUGAAAGAGCAAGAGAGCGGAAGGUACCGGUCACACGGCUUGGGAGACUAGCGAAUUUUGGAGGUCUUGCUGUGGGUUUGGGUAUUGGAGCUUUGGCAGAAGUGGCAAAGAAAAGCCUGAGAUCAGAGGAGAAGAAUGGUGAAAAGAAGGCCGUUUUGGACAACAGCCCCUUCCUUUCGGAGGCCAAUGCAGAGCGUAUCGUCAGGACUUUGUGUAAAGUGCGUGGCGCGGCCCUCAAGCUCGGCCAAAUGCUCAGUAUACAGGGUAAGAGAAUGCUGUUUGUACUGUAUAUAA